rnacentral:rRNA from 1 species
UACGAAGGGGGCUAGCGUUGCUCGGAAUCACUGGGCGUAAAGCGCACGUAGGCGGCUUCUUAAGUCAGGGGUGAAAUCCUGGAGCUCAACUCCAGAACUGCCUUUGAUACUGAGAAGCUUGAGUCCGGGAGAGGUGAGUGGAACUGCGAGUGUAGAGGUGAAAUUCGUAGAUAUUCGCAAGAACACCAGUGGCGAAGGCGGCUCACUGGCCCGGUACUGACGCUGAGAUGCGAAAGCGUGGGGAGCAAACAGG